rnacentral:rRNA from 1 species
ACGAACGCUGGCGGCGUGCCUAAUACAUGCAAGUCGAGCGGACUUAAAAAGCUUGCUUUUUAAGUUAGCGGCGGACGGGUGAGUAACACGUGGGCAACCUGCCUGUAAGACUGGGAUAACUUCGGGAAACCGGAGCUAAUACCGGAUAAUCCUUUUCUACUCAUGUAGAAAAGCUGAAAGACGGUUUACGCUGUCACUUACAGAUGGGCCCGCGGCGCAUUAGCUAGUUGGUGAGGUAACGGCUCACCAAGGCGACGAUGCGUAGCCGACCUGAGAGGGUGAUCGGCCACACUGGGACUGAGACACGGCCCAGACUCCUACGGGAGGCAGCAGUAGGGAAUCUUCCGCAAUGGACGAAAGUCUGACGGAGCAACGCCGCGUGAGUGAUGAAGGUGUUCGGAUCGUAAAACUCUGUUGUUAGGGAAGAACAAGUACGAGAGUAACUGCUCGUACCUUGACGGUACCUAACCAGAAAGCCACGGCUAACUACGUG